rnacentral:lncRNA from 10 species
AUCUGCUGCCGCCCUGAAUCAGCGUUAGCAUGUGGAGGCAACCUCAGCCCCCAGUUUUUGAAGAAGGUGAUUCAGAUUCAGACACAGGAAUUAUGGUGACGGUAGAAAUGGACUGGAAGGUUCGUUCCCCUUGCCCACCAAGACUCCAGAGCAGGUGGGUUCUUGAUGUCUACUCUGCAUGAAGCCCUGGGCUUUCCGGCCCUCCCUACUUUUCCUCCGAAUUCACAGCACAGCGGAGCCAAAAUGUAUUCCUGCCAAAACGGGCAUUUCCCAAAAGAAAAUAUUGUUUUAGAUUCAUUGUUCACAGCCUCUUUUUUUUUGUUGUUCAUUUGAAGCAAUUUUUCUUUUUUAUUAUUAUACUUUAAGUUUUAGGGUACAUGUGCACAGUGUGCAGGUUAGUUACAUAUGUAUACAUGUGCCAUGCUGGUGCGCUGCACCCACUAACUCGUCAUCUAGCAUUAGGUAUAUCUCCCAAUGCUAUCCCUCCCCCUCCCCCCACCCCACAACAGUCCCCAGAGUGUGAUGUUCCCCUUCCUGUGUCCAUGUGUUCUCAUUGUUCAGUUCCCACCUAUGAGUGAGAAUAUGCGGUGUUUGGUUUUUUGUUCUUGCGAUAGUUUACUGAGAAUGAUGAUUUCCAAUUUCAUCCAUGUCCCUACAAAGGACAUGAACUCAUCGUUUUUUAUGGCUGCAUAGUAUUCCAUGGUGUAUAUGUGCCACAUUUUCUUAAUCCAAUCUGUCAUUGUUGGACAUUUGGGUUGGUUCCAAGUCUUUGCUAUUGUGAAUAAUGCCGCAAUAAACAUACACGUGCGUGUGUCUUUAUAGCAGCAUGAUUUAUAGUCCUUUGGGUAUAUACCCAGUAAUGGGAUGGCUGGGUCAAAUGGUAUUUCUAGUUCUAGAUCCCUGAGGAAUCGCCACACUGUCUUCCACAAUGGUUGAACUAGUGUACAGUCCUACCAACAGUGUAAAAGUGUUCUUAUUUCUCCACAUCCUCUCCAGCACCUGUUGUUUCCUGACUUUUGAAUGAUCGCCAUUCUAACUGGUGUGAGAUGGUAUCUCAUUGUGGUUUUGAUUUGCAUUUCUCUGAUGGCCAGUGAUGAUGAGCAUUUUUUCAUGUGUUUUUUGGCUGCAUAAAUGUCUUCUUUUGAGAAGUGUCUGUUCAUAUCCUUCACCCACUUGUUGAUGGGG